rnacentral:rRNA from 1 species
UACGUAGGGGGCGAGCGUUGUCCGGAUUUAUUGGGCGUAAAGAGCUCGUAGGCGGUUCGUCGCGUCGGCUGUGAAAACCUGAGGCUCAACCUCAGGCCUGCAGUCGAUACGGGCGGACUUGAGUACUGCAGGGGAGACUGGAAUUCCUGGUGUAGCGGUGAAAUGCGCAGAUAUCAGGAGGAACACCGGUGGCGAAGGCGGGUCUCUGGGCAGUAACUGACGCUGAGGAGCGAAAGCGUGGGGAGCGAACAGG